AUGGCCCUGGCUGAAGACCAGUUACACUUCAGCUAUUGGUUUCAAGCAGAGGCCUAAAAAACUUUAUCUUCUAUGGUUUGUUGGCUGUUCUGGGACCUUGGUGGAGAAUGGUUGUUUCAUUUGGAGGAAACAAUC